AAUUUUGGACAAUGGGGGAAACCCUGAUCCAGCCAUCCCGCGUGUAGGAUGAAGGCCGUCGGGUUGUAAAGUUCUUUUGGCAGAGAAGGAAAGGUAUUCCCUAAUACGGGAUACUGCUGACGGUAUCUGCAGAAUAAGCACCGGCUAACUACGGCACAGCAGCCACGGUAAAACGUACGGUGCCAGCGUUAAUCGGAAUUACUGGGAGUAAAGCGUUUGUAGGCGGUUCGGAAAGAAAGAUGUGAAAUCCCAGGGCUCAACCUUGGAACUUCAUUUUUAACUGCCGAGCUAGAGUAUGUCAGAGGGGGGUAGAAUUCCACGUGUAGCAGUGAAAUGCGUAGAUAUGUGGAGGAAUACCGAUGGCGAAGGCAGCCCCCUGGGAUAAUACUGACGCUCAGACACGAAAGCGUGGGGAGCAAACAGG
rnacentral:rRNA from 1 species